AGUGAACGCUGGCGGUAGGCCUAACACAUGCAAGUCGAACGGCAGCACAGUAAGAGCUUGCUCUUACGGGUGGCGAGUGGCGGACGGGUGAGGAAUACAUCGGAAUCUACUUUUUCGUGGGGGAUAACGUAGGGAAACUUACGCUAAUACCGCAUACGACCUACGGGUGAAAGCAGGGGAUCUUCGGACCUUGCGCGAUUGAAUGAGCCGAUGUCGGAUUAGCUAGUUGGCGGGGUAAAGGCCCACCAAGGCGACGAUCCGUAGCUGGUCUGAGAGGAUGAUCAGCCACACUGGAACUGAGACACGGUCCAGACUCCUACGGGAGGCAGCAGUGGGGAAUAUUGGACAAUGGGCGCAAGCCUGAUCCAGCCAUACCGCGUGGGUGAAGAAGGUCUUCGGGUUGUAAAGCCCUUUUGUUGGGAAAGAAAAGCAGCAGGUUAAUACCCCGAUGUUCUGACGGUACCCAAAGAAUAAGCACCGGCUAACUUCGUG
rnacentral:rRNA from 1 species